rnacentral:sRNA from 1 species
GAAGAAAAUAUUCAAAACUUACAGGAGC